rnacentral:rRNA from 1 species
GACGAACGCUGGCGGCGUGCCUAACACAUGCAAGUCGAGCGGAGAUAUUAGCAAUAGUAUCUUAGCGGCGGACGGGUGAGUAACGCGUGGGCAACCUGCCUUCUCCAGGGGGAUAACACAGGGAAACUUGUGCUAAUACCGCAUAACAUAUUGGGGGGACAUCCCCUUAAUACCAAAGGGGUAAUCCGGUAGAAGAUGGGCCCGCGGCCGAUUAGUCAGUUGGUGGUGUACCGGACCACCAAGGCGACGAUCGGUAGCCGAACCGAGAGGUUGAGCGGACACAUUGGGACUGAGACACGGCCCAGACUCCUACGGGAGGCAGCAGUGGGGAAUAUUGCGCAAUGGGGGAAACCCUGACGCAGCAACGCCGCGUGAAGGAUGAAGGUCUUCGGAUUGUAAACUUCUUUAGUCGGGGACGAAGAAUGACGGUACCCGAAGAAUAAGCCACGGCUAACUACGUGCCAGCAGCCGCCGUAACAC